GGCGGCGUGAAUAUUUGGACAAUGGGCGCAAGCCUGAUCCAGCCAUGCCGCGUGAGUGAUGAAGGCCCUAGGGUUGUAAAGCUCUUUCGCGGGGAAGAUAAUGACGGUAACCGUAGAAUAAGCCCCGGCUAACUUCGUGCCAGCAGCCGCGGUAAUUAUAA
rnacentral:rRNA from 1 species